rnacentral:rRNA from 1 species
UACGAAGGGGACUAGCGUUGUUCGGAUUUACUGGGCGUAAAGCGCGCGUAGGCGGAUCGCUAAGUCAGGGGUGAAAUCCCAGGGCUCAACCCUGGAACUGCCUUUGAUACUGACGGUCUGGAGAUCGGGAGAGGUUGGUGGAAUUCCGAGUGUAGAGGUGAAAUUCGUAGAUAUUCGGAGGAACACCAGAAGCGAAGGCGGCCAACUGGCCCGAUACUGACGCUCAGGCGCGACAGCGUGGGGGAUCAAACAGG